UCAAAACGACUCUCGGCAAC
rnacentral:rRNA from 1 species